rnacentral:rRNA from 1 species
GACGUACCACCCAAACGUUAUUCGGAAUCACUGGGCUUAAAGAGUCCGUAGGCGGCCUGGAAAGUUGGGUGUGAAAUCCCUCAGCUCAACUGAGGAAUGGCGCUCAAAACUACCUGGCUCGAGAAAGACGGAGGUGAGCGGAACUGAUGGUGGAGCGGUGAAAUGCAUUGAUAUCAUCAGGAACACCGGUGGCGAAAGCGGCUCACUGGGUCUUUUCUGACGCUGAGGGACGAAAGCUAGGGGAGCGAACGGG